GGAGUUAGCCGGUGCUUCUUCUGUGAGUGAUGUCCUUCCUGCCGGCUAUUAACCCGCAGGCCUUCUUCCUCACUGAAAGUGCUUUACAACCCGAAGGCCUUCUUCACACACGCGGCAUGGCUGGAUCAGGGUUGCCCCCAUUGUCCAAUAUUCCCCACUGCUGCCUCCCGUAGGAGUCUGGGCCGUGUCUCAGUCCCAGUGUGGCUGAUCAUCCUCUCAGACCAGCUACGGAUCGUCGCCUUGGUGAGCCGUUACCUCACCAACCAGCUAAUCCGACAUAGGCUCAUCCGAUAGCGCGAGGCCCGAAGGUCCCCCGCUUUCCCCCGUAGGGCGUAUGCGGUAUUAGCCUGGGUUUCCCCAGGGUUAUCCCCCACUACCGGGCAGAUUCCUAUGCAUUACUCACCCGUCCGCCGCUCGCCACCAGGGAGCAAGCUCCCCGUGCUGCCGCUCGACUUGCAUGUGUAGCUCGCCGCCACGCGUCAUCUGACGCCGACGAUACAACUACUGA
rnacentral:rRNA from 1 species